rnacentral:rRNA from 1 species
UACGAAGGGUGCUAGCGUUGCUCGGAAUUACUGGGCGUAAAGGGAGCGUAGGCGGAUAGUUUAGUCAGAGGUGAAAGCCCAGGGCUCAACCUUGGAAUUGCCUUUGAUACUGGCUAUCUUGAGUACGGAAGAGGUAUGUGGAACUCCGAGUGUAGAGGUGAAAUUCGUAGAUAUUCGGAAGAACACCAGUGGCGAAGGCGACAUACUGGUCCGUUACUGACGCUGAGGCUCGAAAGCGUGGGGAGCAAACAGG